CCACAGAGUGCUCCAGGGACUUCCUGGCGAGAUUUUCCUGCCCUCUUAAGAGUUUCUCUUACUCUCAGCCCCGCUCAUCUAAUCUGGAGCUGCAGCCCUCUUCUCCAACCAGUCUCAGGAUCUCAGAGCUGCAAGAUCUUGCACAUUUCCUAAGAUGAUCCCUUUUCCUUACAGAUGAGGAAACCGAGACUGCAAAAAGGUAACAAAUGCGUGUACCAUCCGAAUUUCCUCUUCUCCCCUGCGUCCUGGGACAGUCGCAGCCACAGAACAAGGAAUGCAGACCACUGGAGGUGGACGGCAAAAUGCAGCCAAAGCCCAGUCAGAGAGACCUGGAUCCACUCCUCAUCUCUGCCACAGAUGGGCUGUGUGACCUUGAGCAAGAUACUUCCCUGUCUGCGCCUCUGUGUCCUCCGCAUACAGUGAGGAGGAUCAUAAGCCCACAGGGAGAAUCCUGGGGACUCCUGAGCUGAAGUUCCCAAAGUGCCCAGCCUGGUGCCCAGCACACAGCAGAUGCACAAGAAAUAGCAUCACAGAUCAAAUUCUGGACCUUGCACUUGUGAGGCAGGCGGCAGUGCCACUGAGCUAAAUCCUCUGCCCUCAGGAGCAUCUUGGGCAAGACCUCCAGGAACUUGGAAUUUGCGUCUCCAACAGACAGAA